AAAAUUACCCGCUAUAUUUGCAGGGCCAAAGAGGUGCAGCUAUAAUAUAAAUAGAGCUAGUCUAGCUAUUCUGUCUAGAAGUUAAAUACAAGUUGCGACAUUGAUAGCAAUGAAGUUCAGCGUGCUGUUACUGCUUGCAAUAGCUCGGAGCUGGCCGGCAGCAGAAGGUCUACAUCACUGCAAACUGACUAGAUCAGGUUCUAACACCAAUCUGAUUGUGACAGAAGAUGAUGGUUGCACUGGCAGUGUGCCAGUAGCCAAGUGUGCAGGAGACUGUGCGUCAUCCAUGGUACCUCGUGUCUUCACCCAGGAGAAUAUACCACAAGAGGAAUCUCUCAACUCUGUGUUUGAACACAGUUGUUAUUACUGCGGAGUUGUGGGCCUAAAGCUAGGAAGGAAUGUCACAUUUCCACUAUCCUGCCCCAAUGGUCACACUCGAGAAGGCAGUAAAUAUCUCGAGCUCCCUGUUCAUUGCCUAUGUAUACAAAGUACAUUUUUGAAUUGAACACAAUACCUCAAUAUUAUUGUUGGCAUGUUGUACAUGUAUGUGGCAGACAGAAUCUGAUAUCUUAAUCAUUCCAUAUUAAUUUCAAGGGUGACAAACUUUAUUGCAAUGAAAGCGAAAAUUCGGCCUUCAAAAUCGAGGGCGUCUAUAUAGAGCCAUAGAUAUUCGCACGUACAUCAGUACAGUAUAAUUAUAGUAACUGCAGUUCAUGAGUUUCACAUUCUAGAUACAUUGCUCCCAGAUCUCAAUGCCUCACUUGCUACCUGCUAUUAUAGUUGCUCUCUCCUUGGCGGGGGUGGCCCACACCAGGACAGACUGCUCCCUCGCUAUAACUACAGUUAAGUUUGAAUACACUACAGGAGAAUAUGCAGGCUGCUCUGGACAGAUUAAGACUGCUAGCUGCUCUGGGGACUGUUACUCUGCAAUGGAACCAAGAGUCUACCUGAAGAAAGAGGAUGCCCCCCAGGGAGUAGACCUCACCCCCUUCAAGCACGACUGUAAAUGUUGCUCUAUCAUCGAUAAGGAGUACAUACCCAAGAUCAUCAAACUGACAUGUGAAGAUGGAUCAGUCAAACAGAAGGAAGAGGAUGUGCGCUUUGCUACAAAAUGUCUGUGCACUCCAUGUAAACUUCUUCCAAGAUAGUUGAAUGCUGAACUAUGGACAAUCAUUUCAUAUACUGCUCUAUUAUGUUAUUAAUGUACGUUCAAGAGAGAAAUAUACCACCCAUUUAUAAUAUCAGUAUCUGUAACAACAUCAGUGUCAAAUUUCAGCAA